rnacentral:lncRNA from 1 species
ACGGUGUCCAUGGUGGGGGAAUCGCUUCGAAACAUGAUUGAAAACGGUAUCACCUCACCAUCUUCUUCCUCUACUUCUACCCCACCACCAAGUGCCUACAAUUCUGAGGGCAACAACGACGAUGUCUCCUAAGACCACUACUACAACAUUUCAUUCUACAUAUACCUGUGGCUUAUACCAAUGUUUUUGCUGGUUGAGCAAACCACACUUUUAUUUUGUUUUCUCUUUUAUUUUAUAAAAUUAAUGGUCUUGUUAAGUUUUUAUAUAAACAGGUCCUGCUGGAACUCUGCUAGUUUAGUUU